AGCUGUGACUUACCCAAGAUCAUACAAGAAAGGAAGAGCCAAGCCAGCUGGUACCAAGUGGCUGGGGGCCUGGGAGAUGGAUGUCAGGCCAUCCCCACAGAGCAGGAAACACAGGGAAUGAUGGGAUUCCUGCUCUACUGUUUUGCCCACACAGAUGUUUAUGGAGGGAGACAGCCAAAGGGCCACCGUGAAGAAGACAGGGCACGGCCUGAAAGACAAGAUCUCACCAUGUUGCGCAGUUUGGCCUUCAAAUCAUGACUCCCCCACCUCUGACUCCUGAGUGCUGAGAUUACAGAAGCAGAGCUCCAGGCAACGUCUGGGCACCCAGUGGGCGAAUGCAGAUUGGACAAGCUCUGGCCGGUCUUCAGAUCCCUCAGCAACCAGGUCACCUCCCUCUCCGCAAACCAAUUCUCCAAUUCAGCUCAACCAGUUUAAAGAAAAAGCCCCUCCAUGUCUUCCAGGACCGAACAGAAACCGUCUGUUUGCGACUGUGCUGGGGGCCUCCACUUGUACUUAGAAAUGUGACCAGAAUGGAAUAAGUAACUUUUAAGGAAAUUCUUCCCCGAAGCUCAAACACCCCACAGCUCCAAGGAGACUGCCCUGAAAGGGGAAAAGCCCAGAGAGCUUGGUCAGCUAGCUGCAGUCACCCAGUACAGGACACAGGUCAGGGACAGGAAGGAACCGCACCACUACUAACCA